GUGAGGAAUAUUGCACAAUGGGCGAAAGCCUGAUGCAGCAACGCCGCGUGAGUGAUGAAGGCCUUUGGGUCGUAAAACUCUGUCCUUGGGGAAGAAAAAAAUGACGGUACCCUUGGAGGAAGCCCCGGCUAACUACGUGCCAGCAGCCGCGGUAAUACGUAGGGGGCAAGCGUUAUCCGGAAUUAUUGGGCGUAAAGAGUGCGUAGGUGGUUUUGUAAGCGUAGGGUGAAAGGCAGUAGCUCAACUAUUGUUAGCCCUGCGAACUGUGAGACUUGAGUGCAGGAGAGGAAAGUGGAAUUCCUAGUGUAGCGGUGAAAUGCGUAGAUAUUAGGAGGAACACCAGUGGCGAAGGCGACUUUCUGGACUGUAACUGACACUGAGGCACGAAAGCGUGGGUAGCAAACAGGAUUAGAAACCCCAGUAGUCC
rnacentral:rRNA from 1 species